rnacentral:rRNA from 1 species
CCUACGGGGGGCAGCAGUGGGGAAUAUUGCACAAUGGGGGAAACCCUGAUGCAGCGACGCCGCGUGAGUGAAGAAGUAUUUCGGUAUGUUAAGCUCUAUCAGCAGGGAAGAAAAUGACGGUACCUGAUUCAGACGCCCCGGCUAAAUACGAGCCAGCAGCCGCGGCAAUACGGAGGGGGCCAGCGUUAUCCGGAUUUACUGGGGGUAAAGGGAGCGUAGAGGGCAGCACAAGUCUGUAGUGAAAUGCCGGGGCUUAACCCCGGACCUGCUUUGGAAACUGUGAAGCUAGAGUGCGGGAGAGGUACGUGGAAUUCCUGGUGUAGCGGUGAAAUGCGUAGAUAUUAGGAGGAACACCAGUGGCGAAGGCGGCUUACUGGACUGUAACUGACGUUGAGGCUCGAAAGCGUGGGGAGCAAACAGGAUUAGAUACCCUUGUAGUC